GGAGAGGUGCCGGAGCUGGCCGAACGGGCUUGACUCGAAAUCAAGAGUACGGGUAACCGUACCGUGGGUUCGAAUCCCACCCUCUCCGCCA
rnacentral:tRNA from 1 species